rnacentral:rRNA from 1 species
CAGCUUGCUGGGGGGAUUAGUGGCGAACGGGUGAGUAACACGUGAGUAACCUGCCCUUGACUCUGGGAUAAGCCUGGGAAACUGGGUCUAAUACUGGAUACGACCUUCCCACGCAUGUGGUGUUGGUGGAAAGCUUUUGUGGUUUUGGAUGGACUCGCGGCCUAUCAGCUUGUUGGUGGGGUAAUGGCCUACCAAGGCGACGACGGGUAGCCGGCCUGAGAGGGUGGACGGCCACACUGGGACUGAGACACGGCCCAGACUCCUACGGGAGGCAGCAGUGGGGAAUAUUGCACAAUGGGCGCAAGCCUGAUGCAGCGACGCCGCGUGAGGGAUGAAGGCCUUCGGGUUGUAAACCUCUUUCAGUAGGGAAGAAGCGAAAGUGACGGUACCUGCAGAAGAAGCGCCGGCUAACUACGUGCCAGCAGCCGCGGUAAUACGUAGGGCGCAAGCGUUAUCCGGAAUUAUUGGGCGUAAAGAGCUCGUAGGCGGUUUGUCGCGUCUGCCGUGAAAGUCCGGGGCUUAACUCCGGAUCUGCGGUGGGUACGGGCAGACUUGAGUGAUGUAGGGGAGACUGGAAUUCCUGGUGUAGCGGUGAAAUGCGCAGAUAUCAGGAGGAACACCGAUGGCGAAGGCAGGUCUCUGGGCAUUAACUGACGCUGAGGAGCGAAAGCAUGGGGAGCGAACAGGAUUAGAUACCCUGGUAGUCCAUGCCGUAAACGUUGGGCACUAGGUGUGGGGGA